rnacentral:rRNA from 1 species
UGCUAAGUGUUGGAGGGUUUCCGCCCUUCAGUGCUGCAGCUAACGCAUUAAGCACUCCGCCUGGGGAGUACGACCGCAAGGUUGAAACUCAAAGGAAUUGACGGGGGCCCGCACAAGCGGUGGAGCAUGUGGUUUAAUUCGAAGCAACGCGAAGAACCUUACCAGGUCUUGACAUCCUUUGACCACUCUAGAGAUAGAGCUUCCCCUUCGGGGGCAAAGUGACAGGUGGUGCAUGGUUGUCGUCAGCUCGUGCCGA